GGUUAAGCGACUAAGCGUACACGGUGGAUGCCCUGGCAGUCAGAGGCGAUGAAGGACGUGCUAAUCUGCGAUAAGCGUCGGUAAGGUGAUAUGAACCGUUAUAACCGGCGAUUUCCGAAUGGGGAAACCCAGUGUGAUUCGUCACACUAUCAUUAACUGAAUCCAUAGGUUAAUGAGGCGAACCGGGGGAACUGAAACAUCUAAGUACCCCGAGGAAAAGAAAUCAACCGAGAUUCCCCCAGUAGCGGCGAGCGAACGGGGAGCAGCCCAGAGCCUGAAUCAGUGUGUGUGUUAGUGGAAGCGUCUGGAAAGGCGUGCGAUACAGGGUGACAGCCCCGUACACAAAAAUGCACAUACUGUGAGCUCGAUGAGUAGGGCGGGACACGUGGUAUCCUGUCUGAAUAUGGGGGGACCAUCCUCCAAGGCUAAAUACUCCUGACUGACCGAUAGUGAACCAGUACCGUGAGGGAAAGGCGAAAAGAACCCCGGCGAGGGGAGUGAAAAAGAACCUGAAACCGUGUACGUACAAGCAGUGGGAGCACGCUUAGGCGUGUGACUGCGUACCUUUUGUAUAAUGGGUCAGCGACUUAUAUUCUGUAGCAAGGUUAACCGAAUAGGGGAGCCGAAGGGAAACCGAGUCUUAACUGGGCGUUAAGUUGCAGGGUAUAGACCCGAAACCCGGUGAUCUAGCCAUGGGCAGGUUGAAGGUUGGGUAACACUAACUGGAGGACCGAACCGACUAAUGUUGAAAAAUUAGCGGAUGACUUGUGGCUGGGGGUGAAAGGCCAAUCAAACCGGGAGAUAGCUGGUUCUCCCCGAAAGCUAUUUAGGUAGCGCCUCGUGAAUUCAUCUCCGGGGGUAGAGCACUGUUUCGGCAAGGGGGUCAUCCCGACUUACCAACCCGAUGCAAACUGC
rnacentral:rRNA from 1 species